GACGAACGCUGGCGGCGUGCUUAACACAUGCAAGUCGAACGGAAAGGCCUCUUUCGGGGGGUACUCGAGUGGCGAACGGGUGAGUAACACGUGAGUAGCCUGCCCUUGACUUUGGGAUAACUUCAGGAAACUGGGGCUAAUACCGGAUAGGAGCUCCUGCUGCAUGGUGGGGGUUGGAAAGUUUCGGCGGUUGGGGAUGGACUCGCGGCUUAUCAGCUUGUUGGUGGGGUAGUGGCUUACCAAGGCUUUGACGGGUAGCCGGCCUGAGAGGGUGACCGGCCACAUUGGGACUGAGAUACGGCCCAGACUCCUACGGGAGGCAGCAGUGGGGAAGAUUGCACAAUGGGUGGAAGCCUGAUGCAGCAACGCCGUGUGCGGGAUGACGGCCUUCGGGUUGUAAACCGCUUUCGCUCAUGACGAAGCUUUGUGUGACGGUAGUGGGUAAAGAAGCACCGGCUAACUACGUG
rnacentral:rRNA from 1 species